rnacentral:rRNA from 1 species
AACGAACGCUGGCGGCAUGCCUAACACAUGCAAGUCGAACGAGACCUUCGGGUCUAGUGGCGCACGGGUGCGUAACGCGUGGGAACCUGCCCUUAGGUUCGGAAUAACUCCCCGAAAGGGGUGCUAAUACCGGAUAAUGUCUUCGGACCAAAGAUUUAUCGCCUUUGGAUGGGCCCGCGUUGGAUUAGCUAGUUGGUAGGGUAAAAGCCUACCAAGGCGACGAUCCAUAGCUGGUCUGAGAGGAUGAUCAGCCACACGGGGACUGAGACACGGCCCAGACUCCUACGGGAGGCAGCAGUGGGGAAUAUUGGACAAGGGGGGAAGGCCUGAUCCAGCAGUGCCGCGUGAGUGAUGAAGGCCUUAGGGUUGUAAAGCUCUUUUCCCCGGGAGGAUAGUGACAGUCCCGGGAGAAUAAGCUCCGGCUAACUCCG